rnacentral:lncRNA from 1 species
GGGAGCUGCCGCCAGUGCCGAGUGCCGCCGUCGGGCUUGUCCUCACCAAGCCUCCGGCGAAAGCUGUGAAGGGUCGUGUUUGGCUCUUUUGCUCUUGGGGAUCUGGGGCCUUUGGGCUUUAUUGCCUUGGCUGUGCUGUGCUGUAGCUGCGUCACCUUCCAUCUCUCAGGAGUACCACUGUGUCUUCUAGAGGUUUCUGGGCUCAGGGAAGGGAAAGAACCAAGGAAGGCCCAGCCCAGACGAAGCCUUUUCUCAGGCUGCUCGGUCUGCACUGCGGCCCUGGCCUCACGGGAGGCACCUUAGUUGCUUCUGGAGCUUGAGCCUGGCCCUUGCCCUGUCCCAGCCCAGAACUGCGAGCCUGAGCCUGCUUGUCUCAUUCCCCUGCUGAGGGAGGGAGACAGUGCUCCGAAAGGGGUUCUUGGUUCUGACCCAAACAGUUCUGCUGCUCUGGAAAUGAAUCGUGGAUCAGGAGAGGCGUUGUAGGCGCUUGAAAAGCUGCCUUUCCGCUUGUGGUUUAUGAGCAAAGCCAGCCUUCUCUCUGGCCAGCCUCUCCCCUCCCUCACAGACACCUCAGGGCUUGAGGACUUUGGUUGGGGUGGGGGUCAGUGGCGAGACACACUCCUUUCCUUGACCUCCUGUCACCCCGUGAGCCUUGAGUCCUUCACCUCACCAGCUCCCUUGGCUGGGGCCCUGACCCCGAGCCCAUGCUGAUGGCCGCACCCAGGUUCAGCCAGGUUCCCGGGGUAGCGUUUCUCCCCGACCUCGGCAGCCUUGUCUGGUCAGGCAGGGUGCACACUGCACCCUUACUUUGCAGAGGGGACACCGAAUGCCGCUUGUCCCCUCGCCCACUUAGUGUGGUGGCUUCUCAAAUGGCUCCUGACCAGGGCCUAACUCUGUGCAUCUCCCAGGAACCCAGGGUGGCUCUGGCUGUCUCAUGGGCUGCCUCCAACUGCCAUAGGGCCUCCCCUCCAGGGCCUUGAGGCGGCACAGGGAAUGCUUGGCGGGGCUGGGGCGUGCCCUCUGCCCCUCUUGUCUUCUGGUGAGUCAGGAGCCACAUGCCUUGGGCAGGCUUCCUUUACUUCAGCCCGAGCAGCAUUUAUUCUGUUUCCCCAAAGUUUCUGUGAACUCAGGCCAGGUCUCCGGAGGUGGCCCUAAUUAGGGGAGGGACCUCCAGGGAUAGUGAGGCAGGAGGGAAGGUACUGGUGCCUGGCUCAGCCUGUUAGCCCCCGGCCCAGGCCCCCUGAUGUGCCUGCCCAGCCGUAUUCCUAGACAGCGGCCUCUGAGACUUGCUUUUUCUCACCCAUUCCGUGCAGAACUCACUGGACAGGAGGCAGGAGGCAGCCAGUCUAGACCUGAAGCCCUCAGCUGUUCCAGGAGGGGCUUCCCUCACAAAGAGGAAGGGGGCCCUGCUCAGUUGCGGGCUGGGGGGUUCAGGAAGCAAGGCCAAGUGUAGUUGUGGGUAGAAAACCUUUCCCUACUUCACAGGAGCGCACGUGACAUUGGGCGCCUGGCUGUAGCUUGCUCGCACUCUGGCCUGGUGAUGGCCAAGGUAGUUUUUAGAAAUCUACUUAAAAUACCUAUCUGUUAUCUAUUUACGGUGUUUUUUCUGACUACGCAAAUGUAAAUAAUAUAAUCUGCAGUGCAAAGUCCUUGGCAAUAACUGUUGUAUAUUAUGUUAAAAACACUGGAGAAUGCGACCACCGUGGAUUGUCCUUCCCUCUCUGGGGCAACGAUUCCCUGUAGGACUCUGAACUUGCAACCUUCGGCGUGGCUGAAGCAGCAGCCUGCAUGUGUGGACUGUCACCAGUGCCUCGCCCAGAGAUGCCUGGCCUUCAUCCAGUGGGACUCUCUGCCACCCCGACUCCCACAGGCAGCGCCCACACUGUGGCUCUUUCACACCAUGUUGGACUCUGCAAUAGACUGGCCCUCUUGUCUGGCUGCUGCAAUCUGUCUGUAAUGCCCUGACAUGUUGCAUUUUCCCCAUUUGGAUGACUACAAAUAAAAGCUUCUGUCUUAAACAGC